GAAAAAGAUGGAGACUUCAAGAAAUUCUUCUCUACUAGUGACAUUUUUGUUGGCAUUUUUAAUCAUUGCUUCAGAUAUAUGUAUGGAAUCACAAGCCAAGAGUGUGACUGAUGAGAUUGUAGUUUGCAGUUCAACAAAAGAUUGUAGGGAUAAAAAUUAUCCAUGUCCAUCCCCAUUGGUUCUUGAUUGUGUUGCAAACGUAUGUACUUGUAUACAUCUUCAACCAACCUUCACUAAUGAAAUUCAUGCUCCAAAACCCUCAGUUACAAACUGAGUAAUGGAGAAUGUUUUGAUGUGGAAAAUUAAAUAAAAUAAUUUUAAUGAGAAAUGGUGAUUGCAUCA